rnacentral:tRNA from 1 species
UGGCUCAGUGGUAGAGUGCUUGCCUUGCAUGCAAGAGGCCCUGGGUUCAAUUCCUCAG